rnacentral:rRNA from 1 species
GAACGAGGUAGCAAUACCUAGUGGCAGACGGGUGAGUAACACGUAGUCAACCUACCUCUUAGUGGGGGAUAACUAGCCGAAAGGUUAGCUAAUACCGCAUACGAUCGUCGAGAGGCAUCUCUUGAUGAUGAAAGGAGCAAUCCGCUAAGAGACGGGACUGCGUCCCAUUAGUUAGUUGGUGGGGUAAUGGCCUACCAAGACUCCGAUGGGUAGCUGGCUUGAGAGAGCGACCAGCCACACUGGAACUGAGACACGGUCCAGACUCCUACGGGAGGCAGCAGUGAGGAAUUUUCCGCAAUGGGGGAAACCCUGACGGAGCGACGCCGCGUGUGGGAAGAAGGCCUUCGGGUCGUAAACCACUGUCGAAGGGGACGAUAUUGACGGUACCCUUGGAGGAAGCCCCGGCUAACUACGUG